CAGCAGCAGCCGCGGUAAUACGAAGGGGGCUAGCGUUGUUCGGAUUUACUGGGCGUAAAGGGCGCGUAGGCGGACUGAUAAGUCAGGGGUGAAAUCCCAAGGCUCAACCUUGGAAUUGCCUUCGAUACUGGCUGUCUUGAGUAUGAGAGAGGUGUGUGGAACUCCGAGUGUAGAGGUGAAAUUCGUAGAUAUUCGGAAGAACACCAGUGGCGAAGGCGACACACUGGCUCAUUACUGAUGCUGAGGCGCGAAAGCGUGGGGAGCAAACAGGAUUAGAUACCCUAGUAGUCCCUGUCUCUUAUAC
rnacentral:rRNA from 1 species